AGGCUUUUCCUAGCUGAUAUCCUUCUGAGCUGUGGUAGAGAAAGGGGAAGCAGUGCCCUCAUGGCUCCUGGAUUUACAGUUCCUGAGGAAGAACUGACAAAUAGAGGAAGACUUCCCUAAUAUCAAAUGAAGCAGAACCUUCUGGGCAGAAGGAAAACAGGUGAUGUUGCAAUGACAGGGCUCACCUUUCCACCUCGUGUUUGAUGAGGGUUUGAGAAAAGAGCCACAUUCUUUCCAAAAGUCAGGUCAGAAGCCUUUCCACACUUUGGUUUCCCAAUUCAGCACCCGUAAUGUCAAAUAAAACGAAGGCCCUUGCCCCAAGUGAAGUCAUCAGCAAAUAUCUCUUUGCUUUCCGGGGGACUGUGUUCUCUCACAACAUCUUUUGGAAUUAUCACUUCAUACUGAAACAAGGGUUUGAUCUUUUCAUGAGAUGUAUGGUGAUGAAAUUAAGGCCAGGGGCUCUGGGGACAGAAGAGAAGGCUGGCGCCACUCGUAUGCCCUGGAGAAACAGUGAGAUGAAGAGCACAGCCUCUAGAGCCAGAGUGUCUGGAUCUAAAAUUGGCUCUGCCAACAAGCAUAAUUGAAAAUUAAGAAUGCCAUGUAAAGCAAGGUGAAAAAGGCAGGGGUGUACACAUCAAUCCCAGAUCCAGGGAGCCAACAUCUUUAAGUAGACUUCUUCAGAUGGCCUGUGGGGUACCACAGAGCUUACAGAACAACUUAAGAUCACUCCAAACCAGAGUCAAAGACAUCCCUGCCACGCAGCACAUAGAUUUAUAACUCUGGUCAAAGGUUUCGACAAAUACAGAUUUCUUCAAUCCGAAGUCCAUCUGUGUGUGUUCCCAGAAAUAAAGAACAGUGCAUGUCUA